GGCUACCUGGCGCAAUGGUAGCGCGUUUGGCUUCGAUUGCCUCUUCUACCAAAAGGUUGCAGGUUCGAGUCCUGCGGUGGUCA